UUCCCUGUGGCACAAUGGGUCAGUGCAUCUGGCUGCUAACCAGAAGGUUGGUGGUUCAAACCCACACAGGGAUU
rnacentral:tRNA from 1 species